UACGAGAGCCCCAAGCGUUACCCGGAAUUAUUGGGCGUAAAGGGUGUGUAGGCGGUCAUGUUAGUCGUUUGUUAAAGCCCGAGGCUCAACCUCGGAAUCGCUGACGAAACGGCAUGACUCGAGGGUGUGAGGGGUAUAGGGAACUCAUGGUGUAGGGGUGAAAUCCGUUGAUAUCAUGGGGAACACCAAAAGCGAAGGCACUAUACUGGCACACUCCUGACGCUGAGACACGAAAGCGUGGGUAGCGAACGGG
rnacentral:rRNA from 1 species